CACGGGGGGAGGAUGGCCCCGAGGGGCUGAAGGGCCAGCAGGGUCCCAUGGGAGAGGCGGGAGCCUCCGGCCCAGCGGGGGAGAAGGGGAAGUUGGGUGUGCCAGGCCUGCCGGGCUACCCCGGCCGCCAGGGCCCCAAGGGCUCUGCUGGCUUCCCGGGCCCCCUGGGGCUUGCAGGGGAGAAAGGAAAGAGGGGCAAGGCUGGCCAGGCCGGGCAGACGGGAGAGCGUGGACCUCCGGGCCUGCCAGGGGAGCGAGGCCAGAUGGGCCUGACGGG